CCUCACCUGACCUCAGCCGGGGGGAAAGAGUCACACUCACAGGACACCCAGAAGGAACCUGAGCUAACCAAACCAAGCACCGUGAGGUGUAACUACUAUAUCUAAUAUGUUGCAUUUUGAAUCUUGACGCUAAGUGACGGUGGUUAGGAUCACUUAGUAACUACAAUGUGAGAGGCAGAUACAGCCGAGUUCUUGAACUGAAGCAGCUUCUGCUAGCCAGUGCCGGAGACAAGUUACUGGACUAGAUGAACCUCAUUUCUGACCCAGUUGGGUAGAUAAGAAGGAGCCAAUUCACAAGGAGCUCAUGCCAUUUAAGGAUUCAAACACAGAGAUAACUGUACCCUCACCCUUGUGAAAACCUGGCCCUAAAGCUUCUAAGAGGUACUCAGAU